rnacentral:lncRNA from 1 species
UAGAAGGAUGUCAAGCCCAGCGUUACAGCUGAGGUUGGAGACUUCUUUCAGGUCCUUGUGAACAGCACUUUCUCUCCCACUGAGGCCAGACAGCUAGAAAAAAAACAUAUCCAGGGAGGGACCUGGGAGAGAGGAACCUGAUCUGGUAUUGGGUGAGGGAAAAGGACUGAAGCCCUGAGGAGCAGCACAAAGAAUGAAAACAGGCAACCUCGGAGAUAGGUUGCGGGGGACCCUCCAAAAUGCACCAGAGACCUGGGAGUCUGUUUAUAUGGUGGAUUAUGGUGAUGAAUUUUUGCAUACUGAACCAUCCCUGUGUCCCUGGAAUGUGACCUACUUGAUUUUGAUAGAUGAUGUCUUUGAUGUGUUCCAGGAUUCAGUUGAGAAGUGUCCAUGGUGCGUCCAGCCACAAAUGGGUCAUCUGUAUCACACCCACUCUCAAAGGCUUCAGGGUCAUCAUGGAAGAUGGGGAAGAAGGACGGGAAGAGCCAGGUGUCAGGAGGACCAGAGUGAACAGGGUCUUCUGGACAGACCUGACCACCCAUGAGCUAACAGCGGUGUGGCUGCCUGAGCGAGACCUGCUAAGAUCGAACUGGUCAAAACUCUAGGAGAGCGGGAGCCCCUGCUCAGGCUGAGGAGCUUCUGACAGUCAGCUCUCAGGAGGAAGAGUCGGUUGUCUUACAGGUUGUGGCCUCUUACAGGUUGAGUACCAUGGAGGCAUACAGUGGACGGCCCCACACUGAAAUUUGAUUCAACCAACUGCUGGUGUGGAGCCCCACAGGACUGGGGAAGCGAGUCUGAGCUUCAGAGGCUGAAGCCUUGGGUGUGGCCCUAGCUGAGCAGCAGGCUAAACCUCUCUGAGCCUCAAAUAUGAACGAAGCAAGUGUGAUCACACGCUGCCAGGAGACCAACAAGAUGAUGAUUAUGGCAGAGGCAGAGAAAUGGAAAUUUCUGCUUGCAAGCCUUAAACUCACUAUGUAGCUGAUUAUCUUCUUGAACUUCUGAUCCAGCUCUGCUAAGAUUACAGGUGUGCUGAAUGGUUUUCGUCUCAUCCUGACACAAGCUUGGGUCACCUGGGAACAGUUAACCUCAAAUGAGAAGGUGCCUUCAUCAGACUGGCCUGGGGUCCAAUCCGCUGUGGGUGGUGUCACCCCUGGGCCGGCAGUCCCCGGUUGUGUUGAAAAGCGGGCA